rnacentral:rRNA from 1 species
GCCCCGGUAAACGGCGGCCGUAACUAUAACGGUCCUAAGGUAGCGAAAUUCCUUGUCGGGUAAGUUCCGACCUGCACGAAUGGCGUAAUGAUGGCCAGGCUGUCUCCACCCGAGACUCAGUGAAAUUGAACUCGCUGUGAAGAUGCAGUGUACCCGCGGCAAGACGGAAAGACCCCGUGAACCUUUACUAUAGCUUGACACUGAACAUUGAGCCUUGAUGUGUAGGAUAGGUGGGAGGCUUUGAAGUGUGGACGCCAGUCUGCAUGGAGCCGACCUUGAAAUACCACCCUUUAAUGUUUGAUGUUCUAACGUUGGCCCGUAAUCCGGGUUGCGGACAGUGUCUGGUGGGUAGUUUGAC